rnacentral:rRNA from 1 species
GACGAACGCUGGCGGCGUGCCUAAUACAUGCAAGUAGAACGCACAGUUUAUACCGUAGCUUGCUACACCAUAAACUGUGAGUUGCGAACGGGUGAGUAACGCGUAGGUAACCUGCCUGGUAGCGGGGGAUAACUAUUGGAAACGAUAGCUAAUACCGCAUAAUAUUGAUUAUUGCAUGAUAAUUGAUUGAAAGAUGCUAUUGCAUCACUACCAGAUGGACCUGCGUUGUAUUAGCUAGUAGGUGAGGUAACGGCUCACCUAGGCGACGAUACAUAGCCGACCUGAGAGGGUGGUCGGCCACACUGGGACUGAGACACGGCCCAGACUCCUACGGGAGGCAGCAGUAGGGAAUCUUCGGCAAUGGACGAAAGUCUGACCGAGCAACGCCGCGUGAGUGAAGAAGGUUUUCGGAUCGUAAAGCUCGGUUGUAAGAGAAGAACGGGUGUGAGAGUGGAAAGUUCACACUGUGACGGUAUCUUACCAGAAAGAGACGGCUAACUACGUG